rnacentral:rRNA from 1 species
GCCUGUUUGGUACUUAGAUGGAGACAGCCUGGGAACAUCAGGC